rnacentral:rRNA from 1 species
GACGAACGCUGGCGGCGCGCUUAACACAUGCAAGUCGAACGGAAAGGCCUGCUUUCCCUUGUGGAUUGCGGGUACUCGAGUGGCGAACGGGUGAGUAACACGUGAGUGAUCUGCCCCCAACUUGGGUAUAAGCCUGGGAAACUGGGUCUAAUUCCGGAAAGACUGGCGGGGGGUUGCCGGGGUUGGAAAAGGAUUUCUAGGGGGUGGGGAUGAGCUCGCGGCCUAACAGCUUGGUGGUGGGGUAAUGGCCUACCAAGGCGGCGACGGGUAGCCGGCCUGAGAGGGUGGACGGCCACAUUGGGACUGAGAUACGGCCCAGACUCCUACGGGAGGCAGCAGUGGGGAAUAUUGCACAAUGGGCGGAAGCCUGAUGCAGCGACGCCGCGUGGGGGAUGACGGCCUUCGGGUUGUAAACUCCUUUCGACCGCGAGGAAGCCACCUGGUUGGAAGGGUGGUGACGGUAGUGGUAGAAGAAGCACCGGCUAACCACGUG